UAUUUAAUUUCAAACAUGAACACCCGUUCGUACAACACUUUUACUUCGGGCACACGUGAUAAAUCUCUAUCAAGUUUUGAUGGAAAAGUAAAAUCUCAUCCACAAAAGAAAUUGACUUCCGGCUAGCAUCAUUGUGGGAAAGGCCGUAAUAAUAGUGGAAUUAUUACCAUACGACAUAGAGGAGGAGGUUACAAGCGUCUGUAUCAUCAAAUUGAUUUUCGACGGAGUGAGAAAAACAACAUAUUGGGAAAAAUUGUAACAAUAGAAAGUGAUCCUAAUAGAAGUGCAUAUAUCUGUCUUGUGCACUACAGAGAUGGUCAAAAGACAUAUAUUUUGCAUCCGAGGGGGAUUAUGAUUGGAGAUACUAUUCUGUCCGGUCCAAGAGCUCCCAUAUCAAUGGGAAAUGCCCUACCUUUGAGUGAUAUACCUUUAGGCAUGACUAUACAUAAUGUCGAAGUACAAGUCAGAAAAGGCGGACAAUUAGCUAGAGCAGCGGGUGCUGUGGCAGAAUUGAUCGCAAAAGAAGGUCGAUUGACCACAUUAAGAUUACCAUCUGGGGAGGUUCGUUUAAUAUCUGAGAACUGCUUAGCAACAAUUGGACAAGUAGGCAACGUUAAAUGGAAAAAUAGAACUUUAAGUAAAGCUGGGUCAAAACGUUGGCUGGGUAAACGUCCUGAAGUAAGAGGAGUAGUUAUGAAUGCUGUGGAUCAUCCUCAUGGGGGUGGUGAAGGAAGAGCUCCAAUUGGCAGAAAAAAACCCCUGACCCCUUGGGGCUAUAGCGCACUUGGAAAAAAGAGUCGGAAAAGAAAUAAAUAUAGUGAUGUUUCAAUCCUUCGUCGACGUAAGUAAGAAUAGUUGUAAAUCCAUUUUUUUUUCUAUCAAUAAAAAGAAAGGUAAUUAACCAUGGCACGUUCACUAAGAAAAAAUACUUUUGUAUCUAAUGAUUUGUUGAGUAAAAUAGAUAAUCUAAAUAUGAAUAAAGAGAAGAAGAUAAUAGUAACCUGGUCCCGGAGAUCUACCAUUGUACCCGCAAUGAUCGGUCAUACCAUUGCUGUUCAUAAUGGAAAGUCACAUUUACCCAUUUUUAUAUCAAAUUGUAUGAUAAACCACAAAUUAGGAGAAUUUGUACCUACUUCCAUUUUCCAGAGACAUGCGAAAAAGGAUAAAAAAUCAAAAAAUGAAAAAAAAAAAUAAAUAAAUAAAAGAGAGAAACGAGAAAAAAGUAUCGUUGUAAAUAGUAUACAUUAAUUCAUUGUGGAGGAUGAAGAUGAAAUUUAUAAAUAGGGCUUCGACUAGAAAAAUACGAGCUGUAGCUAAACAUGUACGUAUGUCUUCUAAUAAAGCACGUAGAGUAGCUCAUCAACUUCGUGGUUGUACCUAUAUGGAGGCACUUUCGAUACUGAAUUGGAUGCCUCAUAGAGCAUGUUAUCCCAUAUUAAAAGUACUUCGUUCUGCAGCCGCAAAUGCAUAUCACAAUAUGGGUAUAGAUAAGG